rnacentral:rRNA from 1 species
GACGAACGCUGGCGGCGUGCUUAACACAUGCAAGUCGAACGGAAAGGCCCUGCUUUUGUGGGGUGCUCGAGUGGCGAACGGGUGAGUAACACGUGAGUAACCUGCCCUUGACUUUGGGAUAACUUCAGGAAACUGGGGCUAAUACCGGAUAGGAGCUCCUGCUGCAUGGUGGGGGUUGGAAAGUUUCGGCGGUUGGGGAUGGACUCGCGGCUUAUCAGCUUGUUGGUGGGGUAGUGGCUUACCAAGGCUUUGACGGGUAGCCGGCCUGAGAGGGUGACCGGCCACAUGGGGACUGAGAGACGGCGCAGACUCGUACGGGAGGCAGCAGUGGGGAAUAUUGCAGAAUGGGCGGAAGCCUGAGGCAGCAACGCCGCGUGCGGGAUAACGGCCUUCGGGUUGUAAACCGCUUUCGCCUGUGACGAAGCGGGAGUGACGGUAAUGGGUAAAGAAGCACCGGCUAACUACGUG